GAUGAACGCUAGCGGGAGGCCUAACACAUGCAAGCCGAGCGGUAUUGUUUCUUCGGAAAUGAGAGAGCGGCGUACGGGUGCGGAACACGUGUGCAACCUGCCUUUAUCUGGGGGAUAGCCUUUCGAAAGGAAGAUUAAUACUCCAUAACAUAUUGAUUGGCAUCAAUUAAUAUUGAAAGCUCCGGCGGAUAGAGAUGGGCACGCGCAAGAUUAGCUAGUUGGUGAGGUAACGGCUCACCAAGGCGAUGAUCUUUAGGGGGCCUGAGAGGGUGAUCCCCCACACUGGUACUGAGACACGGACCAGACUGCUACGGGAGGCAGCAGUGAGGAAUAUUGGUCAAUGGGUGCAAGCCUGAACCAGCCAUCCCGCGUGAAGGACGACUGCCCUAUGGGUUGUAAACUUCUUUUGUAUAGGGAUAAACCUACCCUCGUGAGGGUAGCUGAAGGCACUAUACGAAUAAGCACCGGCUAACUCCGUGCCAGCCGCCGCCGUAAAAC
rnacentral:rRNA from 1 species